UUCAUGCAAGUGGAUAUUGUGUGUAUAUAUAAUGUAUAUGUGAAGUAUCUUUUCUCUCUGUCAUGCGAAAAAUGAUUCCACACAUUAACACACACUUGUUGAAAAUGAGUAUUGUUUAUUUCACCAAACUGAUUCAAAAUUUUAUAAGUUGCUUUUCACCCUCUUACAAACAUUCUACCCAUUUUAAAUUAUUGUCUCAAGGAAUAUUUUCAAAUUUUUUUUACAUAUCAGUUGAGGUAAAAAUACAUAGUGCAAAGUGGUAAAUUCUUAUUUUUUGAUAUUUAUAUAAAUUUUGGCAUGAAAUACUCUAAGGCCUUCGGGUCGACUACUAUGUCAAAA
rnacentral:lncRNA from 1 species